GACGAACGCUGGCGGCGUGCCUAAUACAUGCAAGUUGAGCGCUGAAGGUUGGUACUUGUACCAACUGGAUGAGCAGCGAACGGGUGAGUAACGCGUGGGGAAUCUGCCUUUGAGCGGGGGACAACAUUUGGAAACGAAUGCUAAUACCGCAUAAAAACUUUAAACACAAGUUUUAAGUUUGAAAGAUGCAAUUGCAUCACUCAAAGAUGAUCCCGCGUUGUAUUAGCUAGUUGGUGAGGUAAAGGCUCACCAAGGCGAUGAUACAUAGCCGACCUGAGAGGGUGAUCGGCCACAUUGGGACUGGGACACGGCCCAAACUCCUACGGGAGGCAGCAGUAGGGAAUCUUCGGCAAUGGACGCAAGUCUGACCGAGCAACGCCGCGUGAGUGAAGAAGGUUUUCGGAUCGUAAAACUCUGUUGGUAGAGAAGAACGUUGGUGAGAGUGGAAAGCUCAUCAAGUGACGGUAACUACCCAGAAAGGGACGGCUAACUACGUG
rnacentral:rRNA from 1 species